rnacentral:rRNA from 1 species
CCAACAGGGAUUGCCUCAGUAACGGCGAGUGAAGCGGCAACAGCUCAAAUUUGAAAUCUGGCCCUAGGCCCGAGUUGUAAUUUGCAGAGGAUGCUUCUGGCGCGGUGCCUUCCAAGUCCCCUGGAACGGGGCGCCAUAGAGGGUGAGAGCCCCGUCGGGUUGGCCGCCAAGCCUGUGUGAAGCUCCUUCGACGAGUCGAGUAGUUUGGGAAUGCUGCUCUAAACGGGAGGUAGACCCCUUCUAAAGCUAAAUACCGGCCAGAGACCGAUAGCGCACAAGUAGAGUGAUCGAAAGAUGAAAAGCACUUUGAAAAGAGGGUUAAACAGUACGUGAAAUUGUUGAAAGGGAAGCGCUUGUGACCAGACGUGCACCGGGUGUUCAGCGGGCGUUCUCGCCCGUGCAUUCGCCCCGGUGCAGGCCAGCGUCGGUUUGGGCGGGGGGAUAAAGGCGCCAGGAACGUAUCUCCCCCGGGAGUGUUAUAGCCUGGUGCGUCAUGCCCCCGCCUGGACCGAGGUUCGCGCUCCGCAAGGACGCUGGCGUAAUGGUCCCCAGCGGCCCGUCUUGAAACACGGACCAAGGAGUCGAGGUUUUACGCGAGUGUCUGGGUGUCAAACCCGCACGC